UACGGGGGGGGCAAGCGUUGUUCGGAAUUACUGGGCGUAAAGGGCUCGUAGGCGGCCAACUAAGUCAGACGUGAAAUCCCUCGGCUUAACCGGGGAACUGCGUCUGAUACUGGAUGGCUUGAGUUUGGGAGAGGGAUGCGGAAUUCCAGGUGUAGCGGUGAAAUGCGCAGAUAUCAGGAGGAACACCGGUGGCGAAGGCGGAUCUCUGGGCCUGUCCUGACGCUCAGGCGCGAAAGCGUGGGGAGCGAACGGG
rnacentral:rRNA from 1 species